rnacentral:rRNA from 2 species
UUGCGCCAUACUCGAUUAGAUUGGUAGGGUAAUGGCCUACCAAGAACGAUGAUGAUGUAGCUGGACUGAGAGGUUGAACAGCCACAUUGGGACUGAGACACGGCCCAAACUCCUACGGGAGGCAGCAGUAGGGAAUUUUCGGCAAUGGAGGAAACUCUGACCGAGCAACGCCGCGUGAAUGACGAAGUACUUCGGUAUGUAAAGUUCUUUUAUCAAGGAAGAAAAGCAAAUGGCGAACCAUUUGUUUGCCGGUACUUGAUGAAUAAGCCCCGGCUAAUUAUGUGCCAGCAGCCGCGGUAAGACAUAAGGGGCAAGUGUUAUCCGGAAUUAUUGGGCGUAAAGGGUGCGUAGGCGGUCUAGUAAGUCAGUGGUGUAAUGGCAACGCUUAACGUUGUCCGGCUAUUGAAACUGCUAAUCUUG